rnacentral:tRNA from 1 species
UCCCCUGUCUAUUCCGGAGGAGAUAUAAGUAUUUGUAAUGCGUAGUACGGAGGUUUGAAUCCCCGCGAGGCGU